CAUGACUAUGAAACUACCUGGAGGGGUGUCCACAGACAGUAAAUAUUUGUCAUCUUUAUUUGACAGAGAGGAGCAGCUUGGAAUGUUUCCCCGGACUGUGCACCUCGACACGGCAGUGAGAUUUCCACGGGUCAUUCCCGGGCUCUGCGAAGAGUUCACAGCAGGAGAGCUGUAGAUAAAUACCUUGAGAACUCUGAGAGAGAUAUUGCUUUCUACUGGGAAAUACAUAAGAAUAUUAUUUGAUACAGCAAGUAGCAUUCGGACCUUAAAGGUGAGUAAUAUUUUGCAAUGGAGACAAUGUUGUCAUGGCAAUUAGGGAGAUGGGAUCACCGAUAUUAUCUGUGGGGCUCUAAGGCACAGCCAGUGGAGCUCUAGAAC
ensembl:lincRNA